GUGCUCACUUUGGCAGCACAUACACUAAAAUUAGAAUGACACAGAGAAGAUUCACAUGGCCCCUGUGCAAGAAUGACACACAAAUUUGUGAAAUGUUCCAUAUUUUU